rnacentral:rRNA from 1 species
AGAGUUUGAUUAUGGCUCAGAACGAACGCUUGCUGCAUGCUUUAUACAUGCAAGUCGAACGGAGGCCCUAGCUUGCUAGGUGUCCUUAGUGGCGCACGGGUGAGUAACACGUGGGAACAUACCUCAUAGUACGGAAUAACUGCGGGAAACUGUAGCUAAUACCGUAUAUUCCAGAAAUGGGAAAGAUUUAUCGCUAUGAGAUUGGCCCGCGCAAGAUUAGCUUGUUGGUAAGGUAAUGGCUUACCAAGGCUCCGAUCUUUAGCUGGUUUGAGAGGAUGAUCAGCCACACUGGGACUGAGACACGGCCCAGACUCCUACGGGAGGCAGCAGUAGGGAAUAUUGGACAAUGGGGGAAACCCUGAUCCAGCAAUGCAGCGUGAGUGACGAAGGCCUUAGGGUUGUAAAACUCUUUCAUCGGUGAGGAUAAUGACAGUAGCCGAAGAAGAAGGACCGGCUAAUUCCGUGCCAGCAGCCGCGGUAAUACGGAAGGUCCUAGCGUUGUUCGGAAUUACUGGGCGUAAAGCGCAUGUAGGCGGAACAAAAAGUUAGAAGUGAAAUCCCUGGGCUCAACCUAGGAAUUGCUUUUAAAACUUUUGUUCUGGAAUUCAGGAGAGGAAAAUGGAAUUUCCAGUGUAGAGGUGAAAUUCGUAGAUAUUGGAAGGAACACCAGUGGCGAAGGCGAUUUUCUGGACUGAUAUUGACGCUGAGAUGCGAAGGCAUGGGUAGCAAACGGGAUUAGAUACCCCGGUAGUCCAUGCAGUAAACGAUGGGUGCUAGUCGUCGGACUUUUGUUCGGUGUCGUAGCUAACGCGUUAAGCACCCCGCCUGGGGAGUACGGUCGCAAGAUUAAAACUCAAAUAAAUUGACGGGGACCCGCACAAGCAGUGGAGCAUGUGGUUUAAUUCGACGCAACGCGAAGAACCUUACCAGCGUUUGACAUGGGAAGUGCCGGUUACAGAAUGGUAACCUUCAGUUCGGCUGGCUUCCGCACAGGUGCUGCAUGGCUGUCGUCAGCUCGUGUCGUGAGAUGUUGGGUUAA